UACGUAGGGGGGCUAGCGUUUGUCCGGAAUCAUUGGGCGUAAAGCGCGUGUAGGCGGUCCGGUAAGUCCGCUGUGAAAGUCGGGGGGCUCAACCCUCGGAUGCCGGUGGAUACUGUCGGGCUUGAGUACGGAAGAGGCGAGUGGAAUCCUGGUGUAGCGGUGAAAUGCGCAGAUAUCAGGAGGAACACCAAUUGCGAAGGCAGCUCGCUGGGACGUUACUGACGCUGAGACGCGAAAGCGUGGGGGAGAAACAGG
rnacentral:rRNA from 1 species